rnacentral:rRNA from 1 species
ACGGGUGAGUAACACGUGAGUAACCUGCCCUUGACUCUGGGAUAACCUCGGGAAACCGAAGCUAAUACCGGAUACGACCUUCGGAGGCAUCUCCAGGAGGUGGAAAGAAUUUCGGUCAAGGAUGGACUCGCGGCCUAUCAGGUAGUUGGUGAGGUAACGGCUCACCAAGCCGACGACGGGUAGCCGGCCUGAGAGGGUGACCGGCCACACUGGGACUGAGACACGGCCCAGACUCCUACGGGAGGCAGCAGUGGGGAAUAUUGCACAAUGGGCGCAAGCCUGAUGCAGCAACGCCGCGUGAGGGACGACGGCCUUCGGGUUGUAAACCUCUUUUAGUAGGGAAGAAGCGAAAGUGACGGUACCUGCAGAAAAAGCACCGGCUAACUACGUGCCAGCAGCCGCGGUAAUACGUAGGGUGCAAGCGUUGUCCGGAAUUAUUGGGCGUAAAGAGCUCGUAGGCGGUUUGUCGCGUCUGCUGUGAAAACCCGAGGCUCAACCUCGGGCCUGCAGUGGGUACGGGCAAACUAGAGUGCGGUAGGGGAGAAUGGAAUUCCUGGUGUAGCGGUGGAAUGCGCAGA